UUGACAUGUCAGGAAUCCUGAAGAGAUUUGGGAGUGCUCGCAAGAGAGCCGGAACACAGGUGCUGCAUGGCUGUCGUCAGCUCGUGUCGUGAGAUGUUGGGUUAAGUCCCGCAACGAGCGCAACCCUUGUCAUUAGUUGCCAUCAUUUGGUUGGGCACUCUAAUGAGACUGCCGGUGACAAACCGGAGGAAAGGUGGGGAUGACGUCAAGUCCUCAUGGCCCUUAUGGGUAGGGCUUCACACGUCAUACAAUGGUCGGUACAGAGGGUUGCCAACCCGCGAGGGGGAGCUAAUCCCACAAAGCCGAUCGUAGUCCGGAUCGCAGUCUGCAACUCGACUGCGUGAAGUCGGAAUCGCUAGUAAUCGUGGAUCAGCAUGUCACGGUGAAUACGUUCCCGGGUCUUGU
rnacentral:rRNA from 1 species